rnacentral:rRNA from 1 species
AUUGAACGCUGGCGGCAGGCCUAACACAUGCAAGUCGAACGAGAGGCGGACGGGUGAGUAAUGUCUGGGAAACUGCCUGCUGGAGGGGGGUAACUACAGGAAACGGUAGCUAAUACCGCAUACCAUCUGAUGUGCCCAGAUGGGAUUAGCUAGUAGGUGGGGUAACGGCUCACCUAGGCGACGAUCCCUAGCUGGGCUUAGAGGAUGACCAGCCACACUGGACCUGAGACACGGUCCAGACUCCUACGGGAGGCAGCAGUGGGGAAUAUUGCACAAUGGGCGCAAGCCUGAUGCAGCCAUGCCGCGUGUAUGAAGAAGGCCUUCGGGUUGUAAAGUACUUUCAGCGGGGAGGCGUUACCCGCAGAAGAAGCACCGGCUAACUCCGUGCCAGCAGCCGCGGUAAUAC